rnacentral:misc_RNA from 1 species
GAGCAGACGCAGUGUGGCUUCAGACGCCGUAGAGGGAGGUUGUGUCUGUAGCUGCUGGCGUUUCUAUUGUGGGUAUAUGACCACUUGCUGCGUUGGAUAUUGUGCGAACUAUUUACAGAACAACAACAGACUUUUGAGUACUUGUGUGAGACCUCUUUAUAAAGUCUGUGCAGGCUGACUUAAUAUAUUCACACAUCUUAAAGAGACGGUUGUGGGAAUUCAGACUGAGUGUGGUGGUUUGGCCUGGGUGUGAGGCCAGGCUAGACUGAGGUGCAUCGGUUGUAUGAAGAUGACGGGAACAGUAAGGAGAGUAACGGCGGUGCUGCUGUUGUCCGUGGUGUGGCAGGUCUCUGGUCAAGAUGAAGGUGGUACGUGCGUGUGGUAUGGACAGUGUGGCCAGAACCCAGACGCUAGCGGUGGUCAUAUGGCCAACUGCCCGUACACAGGGCCCCCCAAGCCCAUGGACCCCAUUACCCAGGGCAAACUUGCCUCCCUGUGCCCAGAGUUCGUCGCUGCCAUCACUCCAUCUGAUCCAGCUGCCAAUAUUAGCACUUGCUGUGACCCAGAUCAGGUCACUACAUUGAACCAGCAGAUGGCUACGGGGCUGGGCCUUCUCCAGCGAUGUCCAUCCUGCGUGAGGAAUUUCCGUCAGCUAUUCUGUCACAUGACAUGUAGCCCUCACCAGAAUGACUUUAUGUUUGCCAAAGUAAUAAAAAAUGCUACUGACACAAAAAAGCCAGUCAUCACCACACUGGCAGUACAUGUCACUGAAGAAUUUGUAGAUGGAGUGUACACUUCCUGUAAGGAUGUUGCCAUGCCAUCGGCCAAUGAGAAAGCAAUGUCUAUAAUGUGCGGAAAGUGGGGGACAUACUACUGCACAGGAGAACGCUGGUUUAACUUCAUGGGAUCGGUGGCCAAUUCCUUUGCACCAUUUCAGAUUGAUUAUAUCUACAAAGAAAGUACAAACACAACAUUUAAACCAUUUAAUGAGACUAUCACUCCUUGUAGUGCUGCCAUAUCUAAUGACUCCCGAGCCUGCAGCUGUUUGGACUGUGAAGCCUCGUGCCCCCAGCCGUCCCCUCUCCCCCCACUACCACAGCCCUUCACUAUAUAUGGGGUUGACGGGCUAGAGGUGGUCAUGGCGCUGGUGUUCUUGCUCAUCACGUCAACGUUUCUCACUAUUUACGUGUGUCAUUCGUGUCGCUCUCAGAGUAUUGAUAUUUCAAUCGAUACCCCUACUGGACCAUCGUGGGCCGAGGAGCCGAGCUGUUUAGAGAGAGCCGGGUCCUGGAUAGACGACGCUUUGCAAAAAUUCUUCACAGCUUGGGGUACAGUUUGUGCCGAACACCCCUGGACUGUGCUAAUAGUGGGACUUCUGGUAUCAGUCGGCCUCUCCGUUGGCAUCAUCUUCCUGAAAGUGACCACAGAUCCGGUUGAGCUGUGGGCGGCUCCAAAUUCCAGGUCGCGCAUCGAGAAGGAAUUCUUCGACAAGAACUUCGAACCAUUUUACCGCACGGAGAUGCUCAUCAUCCGUCCCGUUGGCAUAGGCUCGGUCUCUCACCAAACUCCCGAUGGCCAAGAGAUGUGGGGUCCAGUAUUCAACAUGACAUUCCUACAAGAGGUGCUCAAACUACAGAACCAUAUCACCGGAAAUAUAUUGGGUAGGGUUAACAAGGAGGAAGUUUCCCUGCAGGACAUCUGCUUCAAGCCGCUCUCACCUACCAACAACAACUGCACCAUCCAGAGUGUGUUAAACUACUUCCAGAACGACCCGGGCAAUCUGAAUAUCUCCUCGGAAGAUGCAUUCGGACACGAGGUCAAUUAUCUCAACCAUCUGGAUUCUUGCUUCAGGAACCCUGUAUCACCUAUUGAAGAACAAUUAGGAAUUCCUUGUCUUGGUGAAUAUGGUGGUCCUGUCUUCCCCUUCAUUGCCUUGGGAGGAUUCUUGAAUGGAUCACAGGACCUUGGGGCCAAUCCUCCAUACAAGAAUGCCACAGCUCUUGUUAUUACCCUGGUGGUCAAUAACUUCUAUGACAAGGACAAGAUUGCGGAAGCUAUGGCCUGGGAGGAAGCAUUCCUCCAGUUUAUGAAGAAUUUCUCUCACCCCAUGAUGGACAUCGCUUAUACUGCUGAGCGAGCAAUCCAGGAUGAACUGAAGCGCGAAAGCGAGGGCGACAUCAUAACUAUCCUCAUCUCGUACUGCAUCAUGUUCGCUUAUAUCGCUCUGGCCCUCGGGGACUUCACUCGCUGUAGUCGUCUUCUGGUGGACUCCAAGAUCACUCUCGGCCUCGGUGGUGUGCUCAUCGUGCUUAUCUCUGUCUCGUCGUCCGUUGGUUUCUAUGGUUACAUCGGCGUCCCUGCCACUCUUAUUAUCAUUGAGGUUAUUCCCUUUUUAGUUUUAGCUGUUGGUGUUGACAACAUGUUCAUCUUAGUUCAGACAUACCAGCGAGAAUCUCGUCGACCAACAGAGACGCGUUCAGAUCACAUUGGUCGCGUCGUUGGGCAGGUGGCGCCUACCAUCCUACUUGCCUCGUGCUCGGAGGCUGCUUGUUUCUUUUUAGGAGCGUUGUCGGGCAUGCCAGCUGUACAUGCCUUCGCUCUCUAUGCUGGGUUGGCUCUCACUAUCGACUUCCUUCUACAAGUGACGUGUUUUGUCUCGCUUGUGGCUCUCGACGCUAAGAGACAGGAAGAAAACAGGUUUGAUAUCCUGUGUUGUGUCAGAGGCUCGGACAAAGAGGGAACAUCUCAAGAAGGAUCAUUACAGAAGGUGUUCAAGUAUGUUUACACCCCAGCGCUUCUCUCGCGCGUCGUCCGGCCCGCCGUGAUGAUCGUGUUCUUCGGGUGGUUCUGCUCCAGUAUUGCCGUUUUACCCAAGAUUGUCAUUGGUCUCGAUCAAGAACUUUCAAUGCCUGAUGACUCCUACCUUCAGAAAUAUUUUGUUUACCUGAGUGAAUUCCUGAGUGUGGGACCACCUGUUUACUUUGUACUUAAAGGAAAUUUCCACUUCAACAAUUUCUCCGAACAAAACAAGAUUUGUGGCACCGUUGACUGUAACUCGGACAGUUUGUCAACUCAAGUGUAUAUUGCUUCUCUCCUUUCCAACAGAACCUUUGUUGCUCAGCCAGCAUCAUCAUGGCUCGACGAUUACAUGGAUUGGUCUCUGUUUAACAUAGACGGUGAAGCUGGUAACCCCUGUUGCCGUGUCAGAGAAGACGGCUCCUUCUGUCCAGCGAGUUCAUAUGACGAUUGUGCACAUUGUAACAUAAGUGUGAUAGAUGAUGGACUACGACCUGAUCCUACCUCUUUCAUGGAGUAUUUGCCCUUUUUCCUGGAAGAUGUACCCUCCGAGGACUGUCCUAAGGCAGGUCACGCGGCAUAUGGACAAGCAGUUAACAUCAUCACCAACCCUGAUAAUGAGACGAGUGUUGGCGCCAGUUACUUCAUGACAUAUCACACCAUCUUGAAGUCAUCGCAUGACUAUUACGCAGCUCUCGAGUGGGCCAGAGACAUCUCCCAGAACAUCACGAUGACCAUAAACAAAGGCUUAGAGCAGCCUCAGUAUGAAGUGUUCCCAUACAGUGUCUUCUAUGUGUUUUACGAGCAGUACCUUACAAUGUGGGAAGACGUGUUGAAAUCUCUGGGCAUCUCCCUGGUCACUGUGCUUCUGGUGAGCAUCGUCCUCUCUGGCCUGGACGUGGCCUCGUCCUGCAUGGUCAUCAUCACCAUCAUGAUGAUCCUCGUCAACCUCGGUGGGCUCAUGUACUGGUGGGACAUCUCCCUCAACGCAGUCUCGCUGGUCAACCUCGUUAUGGCUGUGGGUAUUUCAGUGGAGUUUUGCAGUCACAUUACUCAUGCGUUCUCCCUCUCUAUGGAAGAAACCAGACUACAACGGGCAAAAGAUGCACUCAUCACUAUGGGCAGCUCAGUUCUGUCGGGCAUCACGUUCACCAAGUUUGGUGGCAUCAUUGUACUAGCAUUCGCCCAUUCAAAAAUCUUCAAAGUUUUCUAUUUCCGCAUGUACCUGGGCAUCGUACUGUUUGGUGCGGCACAUGGUUUGAUAUUCCUGCCUGUCAUACUCAGCUUCUUUGGCUCAGCAGCCAAUCGUGCGCGACGACAGAAGAAAGCAGCGCAGGAACUGGAGGAGCAGGAGCAGGAACGCCGCUGGGUCAAGAAAGUGCCGGCAGGGUUUUAAGCUCCGUGCCCAACGGCGGCUUAAUUUAGUUAUCCCUUCUCAGAACUGGUGGCCGAAGUCCAACAGGUGCCGCAUACAGAAACGUCAGUGGAGUCGUAUUGCGGAGAGCUUCCACGGCUCCAUGUCCCUGAACGAAGAGGUGCCUGACCUGCAGCAUCCCAUCAACAUUUCCGC